AGGUGCUUGCAGGAUAGCCCAGCCUCUGCUAGAGAACAGGUGACUCGUUCUCCAAGCAUGGGGCCUGGAACCUGGCUAGUGGAAUCAUUGCUUCACCACAAAGGUGGAGCCACAGGCUUCCUGCAUCCCACAGAGAGAGCUUUCUGAGCACAAACUGCAAGCCAGGCACAAGCCACCAAUCUCUCCAGUGCCCUGCCUUCCCAUGGAUCAGAGACUCCCAGCUUCUUGGAAGCCCUGCCUCAUGGUCUACCUGGCAGCCUUGAGGGACCAAAUGACCUUGCUUUUCCCAUUAAGAGCCUCAUGCCAUGUUUUGUAGUCCUGUUCCCAUCCAAUUCAGGUUCCCCAGCUACAUGUGGAGACAUCACUCUCUUUGUUUGGCUUUCAAGGGCUUCCCUUCCUGCUCAAGGCCCUGGGUUACUAGCUCCAGCUGCCAUCUUUGGGACCUUCCUCGGCCUUGAUCACCUCCUCUCAGUGCUGCUGUUCUCUGCACUGAAGGAAGAACAAAGAGGCCUCCAGUCCUGCAGAGUUCUCCACAUGGUUGAUAGAUAGACAGGGGAUGGCCUGGCACUGAAGACCUGGGUCUCCCAUACAAUGUUUUGCUGUCCUCCUGGUCCCCAAAUAUAUGCACAACUGGAUUUUACUAGGCCAG
rnacentral:lncRNA from 1 species